UACAGAGGUCUCAAGCGUUGUUCGGAUUCAUUGGGCGUAAAGGGUGCGUAGGCGGCGCGGUAAGUCGGGUGUGAAAUCUUGGAGCUUAACUCCGAAACUGCAUUCGAUACUGCCGUGCUUGAGGACUGGAGAGGAGACUGGAAUUUACGAUGUAGCGGUGAAAUGCGUAGAUAUCGUAAGGAAGACCAGUGGCGAAGGCGGGUCUCUGGACAGUUCCUGACGCUGAGGCACGAAGGCCAGGGGGAGCAAACGGG
rnacentral:rRNA from 1 species